UACGGAGGGUGCGAGCGUUGUCCGGAAUCAUUGGGCGUAAAGGGCGCGUAGGUGGCCCGGUCAGUUCGUGGUGAAAGCGCGGGGCUCAACCCUGCGUCGGCCAUGAAUACUGCCGCGGCUGGAGCACUGUAGAGGCAGGCGGAAUUCCGGGUGUAGCGGUGGAAUGCGUAGAUAUCGGGAGGAACACCUGUGGCGAAAGCGGCUCACUGGACCACAACUGACGCUGAGGCGCGAAAGCUAGGGGAGCAAACAGG
rnacentral:rRNA from 1 species